rnacentral:rRNA from 1 species
UACGUAGGGUGCAAGCGUUAUCCGGAAGUAUUGGGCGUAAAGAGCUUGUAGGCGGUUUGUCGCGUCUGCCGUGAAAAUCCGAGGCUCAACCUCGGACUUGCGGUAGGUACGGGCAGACUAGAGUGUGGUAGGGGAGACUGGAAUUCCUGGUGUAGCGGUGAAAUGCGCAGAUAUCAGGAGGAACACCGAUGGCGAAGGCAGGUCUCUGGGCCACUACUGACGCUGAGAAGCGAAAGCAUGGGGAGCGAACAGG